AGAUCUCACACCACCAACUCAUGAGACGGAAACCUUUAAGUCAGUGAAUUAAUAUCUGGGUUUUCCUUUCUUUCUUUUUCCAGCAUCUCUCAAGAACCUUAGCAAGAAUAAGAAAGUGGUUCUGUUUCCUGAAAGAAAUAGCUGAGACCCAGGAAGAGAGAAGGCAAUCUGUCCAAGAUGUUUUGAAUGUAGAUGGCGGUGUCUGGACCACGGCCGUAGGGCUGCACAGGAGAGACAGACUUCAGGACCACAUGGAUCAGACCUGGCCGUGGAAGGGAUGGAAGAGAUAAGGCUGACGCUGAAGCUGGGGUCUCUGGAUUGGGCUCUGGGGUUUCAGGAACAUCCUCUGCUUUCUGACGACAGAGGGCUUUUAUUUCUGUACGAUUCGCUUGGCGUUGGCGAGCUCGGCUUGGCUGGCGGGAGGUUGAUAAGCGCACAGUGAUCUUCCUGCUCUCCUUAGGUGGUUCUUCACGUGUUGGUGCCUCUUCUGGAGAACAGUGGCUCUGGAUUCUCCUGAACUGAUGCUUUGUUUUUAAUUUUCAUGAAAGUGCCUUUCCUCCGUUUGUGACUCUUAGAAAAAGCCAGUGUUCCCAGUAGCUUGUCAAUGGAUCACAUUGCUGAAUGAGAGUAAAAGCGAUAAACCAUGUAAAAGCACUUAGUCAGUGUAAUGUCAUAUGUGAAAACUAUUUUCUUAAUAUUAUCACUGUCAUUUUGAAGUCAGUGAUUGUUAUGCUCCGAGCCCGUAUCUCCGAACCGACCGAGAGAGCAAGUCCACCACAGUAUUGCAAA
ensembl:lncRNA